GAUGAACGCUGGCGGCGUGCCUAAUACAUGCAAGUCGAGCGAACAGACGAGGAGCUUGCUCCUCUGACGUUAGCGGCGGACGGGUGAAUAACACGUGGAUCACCUCCCUAUAAGACUGGGAUAACUUCGGGAAACCGGAGCUAAUCCCGGAUGAUAUAUUGAACCGCAUGUUUCAAUAUUAAAGGACGGUUUUGCUGUCACUUAUGGAUGUAUCCGCUUCGCAUUAGCUAGAUGGUAAGGUAACGGCUUACCAAGGUGCCUAUGCGUAGCCGACCUGUGAGGGUGAUCGGACACGCCGGAACUGGAACACGGUCCAGCCUCGACCGGGAGGCAGCAGAAGGGAAGCUUACGCACUGGGAGAAAGCAUGACGGAGCAACGCAGCGUGAGGGAUGAAGGGAUGGGGAUCGUAAAACACUGUUAUGAGGGAAGAAAAAAUGUGUAAGUAACGAUGAACGAAUUGACGGUACCUAAUCAGAAAGCCACGGCUAACUACGUG
rnacentral:rRNA from 1 species